GUGACCUGGAGACACUAUCCUCUUCACUCAAAAUAUCGGCACACACAUACACCCAAUCGCACACACACGCGCAAUCCUCUCCCUUCACAGCUUACUCAAAAUCGCACACUAAUCCGUACAUACCUAAAAAAAAAAUAGAGCCGAUUGAGAGAGAGGGUGACGAAUAGAGAGAGAUAUAGUUAUUUUGGUUUUGGAUUAUUGUUUUGGCGACACAGUCGUCGAAUUUAGACAUUUUCCGUCAGCUUAUUCCCUUCACGGCUCACUGGAGCUUAGAUUCAGACUGGUUUUGAGCUCUCAGUUAGACUUCGGAGAUGUUAGUUCUCGUUUGCUCGUCAUUCGUCUUCCGAUAUCGUGCCUUUGAAGGUUUUUGAUAUCGGGACGGUCUGUUUUUCGGUUGCUAUUUUGUUGUGGUUUCAUCGGUCUUCGCUACUAAUUUGAAGAUUAGAAUCUCAUUCGUCUCGAAUCGUUAAUCGCGAUCAAUUUUUGGUCUUCAAUCUUCGAUACCAAAUCUGGGGUUAUCGCAUUUUGGAUUGUUUCUCGAUUGAUUUGGAGAGUCGAGAUUUCGUUGGUAUUCUUCGAGGUUCUUGGACGGGCUCUUAUUUCUCUUAUUAAAUCAAUCGAAAGCUCCUGAGGUCCAAUUCUAACUUUUCUCUUUUUGAUUUUCUCGUGAUUACGAAUGAUUUGUAUGUUUGGGCAUAUUUGAAUCCUCGUUGUUUGUUUGUUUGACGUUGAAUUUAGAGUUGAAAACUUAAUUGAUAAAUUGUGUUUAGAAUUGGCUUAAUCAUUAAGUAGGAAUUUGGAGAGGGAAUCGGAAAUCUAUAAAGGGUGAAUUUUGGCUAAUUUGAUUCGUGGGUUGUUGUUUGACUUAGAAUGCAUUACUCGAACUUUAUGGUAGCAUGUUUUAGGUCGAGAUAGAAUAGACAAAUUUUAAGUUGGAUAGGCAAAAGUAGGAAUCGUGCAUAGUUGAAUGAUUUCAAAUGUUUGUGGAAUAGUUUAUUUUUCUCGCAUUUGAAAAAUGUAUUUAUUCGUCGGGGAAUGCCUCGAGGUCACAUUGUACUUAUUCAUCAGGGAAUGCCCCGACGUAUUAUGUACUCGGAGGAAGUGCGUGAUGAAGGCCCGAGACAUCGGGUAAAGCCUUGGAGCGUAGUUUAGGAUUAGUGUAGGUUUACUUUUCAGUUCUUUUUUUUUAUCUCAGGUUGUAAUAAUUGAACUGGACACUAUAAUUUUGAAUUUUUUUUGUUUGUUUGAUUGAUUUGUGUAUUUUUUUUGUGUGGUUUAUAUAUUCAUAAUGUGAAAAUUAGUCGAUACGCUCCACCAAGUGACCGUGGUCGAACUACGGGAUCGAGGGGUGUCUAACACCUUCCUCUCGGUCAACAGAAUUCCAUAGCCGGAAUCUCUGUUCGCGGAUCAGUGUUACAGAGUCAAAACCAUUUUUUUGAAAAAAGAUAUCCACGGGUGACUUGGCACACCCGAUUUAUGUCAAGUGGCGACUCUGAGUUUUGAAUGUAAAUAAUCCUUUUCGAAAUCAAUCUUCAUUUUGUCACUUUAAUAAUAAAAACCCUUUCGAACUAAAUUCUAACCUUUUCAAAAAAAAUUUAAAAAAAAGGGUGUGACAACUAACACCCUUGAGUCUAGAUCUAAGUUAAGCUUGAACAUUGUUGUUGGUAUUGUUGUUACGGUUUCAAGAACUUGAAUAUUGUUGAUGUUGUUGUGUGAACCAAAACUUGAAGGUGGUUUGAGCUCGUGUUGGUAUUUUGUUGUGGUUUUUAAGCUUGAAAAAGGUGGUGUUGAUUGUCGGAGGUUCAACGUGAGGCUAAGUUUUCAAACUUCUAUUGAAAGUUCUUGUUGUUCUAGACUAUCUUCAUGUCUAGUUGCAAAAAACCUGUUCAAUAGUGUUGUUUGAUCCAAAAGCCAAGUGGAAAGAAGUGAGGCCUUUGUUAGUCUUUAAAACAAAUCCCAAAAGCCUACCAAAAGGGAAAGGGGAACAAAAAGAUCUACAAAAGACUUAGUACUAAAAGAGGAAAAAAAACACUUUUCUAGGUGUCCAAAAUAGGAAAGGGCCAAAGGUGUCUUGUCCAAAAGGUAUAAGACAAGUCAAACCUUUUUGAAUAUGAAAAAGGGCUCCAAUCUUGAUAUUUUUCUUCCCCAAGGUCGGAAUACACUUCUUCAGGAAUUGAAAAUUGAACCAAAAUUUCAGAGUUGGAAAAAUAAAAACCUUUCAAAAACCGCAACCAAUCCUAGACCGCCACAUCACCUAUUUUUGUACAAUACCGAAACUUAGGGCUCAAAAUCUUGGAUUCUUAGUUUCUUAUUUUUGAUUCUUAGUUUCAUUUUUUUAUUCUUAUACUUAUUGGCAACUAGUAAAUAUCUACUAACUUGUAAAUUAAUUUUUGAAUAUGUUUCUUUCGUGUCUUCGUUAUUUGUGUGCUUUUCUCGUUUGUAACUGUAGUAACUUCUUUAUUUCAAGUUCAUAAGUGAACUUUGUUUUGUGUCUUGAGUCAAUUAAAACAAGAAUUCAUUCUGACCGCCAAGUAGGAUUGACAUCUUAUUGACUAUCGGAGUAUUAAGCAACUUUCAAUAUUUGCCGCUCCAAUUGUGAGAAUCACAAAGGUGGGUGUAUCGAGUGUUGGUAAGGAGCUUUUUGUUUUCUUUUGUUUGUUAUUGUCUUUUUUUUUUGGUUAGGUACCAUGGAUGCACAUAAUUUCAAGGCCACGUGUGAUCGCAUCCAUGACGAUCUUGAAGAUAUGAAACAACACAUUGAAAUGAUACGUCAAUUGUUAUCCAAACUCUUCCCUCAAAAUCCAAUUGUCCAAACAACUUGCGAUAAGAGCUUUCUGAAGGAAGUUGCUACCCAAUCUUGUGAUGGACUUUCACACCGAGGUAAAGUCGAACAUACUCAUGAACGUCAAGGUAAAAUAGCUAGCCCUUACAAUUUUGUGUAUGUGAAUGAUAAUUGUGUGGCUAGUAGUCUAUUGAGUGUGAGUUAUAGCUUGCCUAUAUGUGAGUCUAUUGUUUCUUUGUCACUUGAUGAUGAUGUACUUGUUGUGAGUGUGGAUACACUAGUUGAUCCUAUUGAUGACCGAAUUGACUCUUCUUAUAAGAUCGAUUUAUGUCCACCUAGUGUUGAAAUCAUUGUGUUGAAUGAAAGUACACCGUCUUGUGAAAUUUAUGGUGAAUCAACUUUUGUGUGAAAAUUGUCUACCACUUAAGGAUGUGUGUGAUGUGAUUAAUGAAUCGUGAUAAUGUUGAAAAUAUUGAUCAAAGGAAUAGGAGUGAACCCGAGAGCUAUUCUUGGGAUAAUCUUGCACUUGAAAUCUCUUUGAAACUUGAUAUUAAUCUUUUAGAGAGUGAUGAACGUGUUUGUUCCGAAUCUGUCCGUGAAAUAAAUCAUACUCUCUAAAAGUAUAAUGUCUUGUUUGAAGAUAAUAUAACCACUCCUAAUAAACCUAGUGGUGGAAAUGAUGGUAUACCUUGCCUUAGAAGCUAUAGUCGAUAUGUUAAUCCACUAUGGUGUGACAACAUUCCUCCUAGAAAGAUAAGAGUGCUCUUAAGGGUAAGGAAUGUGUGGUUUUAAAAACUACUUCUCCUUCUACUUUAUGUGACUUUAUUAUUGAGAGUACUCGUAAUGAUGAUUGUGAAAUUAAUAGUAAGUACACACAUGAGGGCGCCUUAGUAGAAAUCAACUUGAGUGAUACCUUUCUCUACUUUCUAGUUGCUCUAGAUAAUAUGUAUGCUAUUGUAGAGAGUAUGUCGUUUAUUUUGGGUGAAGACCACGAAAAAGGAGAGUGUUAUUUAAACCCGUAUCUAUAAUCACUCUUCCGUUUGACCCCGAUGUCAAAUAUAGAAUUGGUGAUGAUGAUGCACCCAACUUGUUGAUUAGUUUACAUAACAAGCAAAGUAUAUCUUUAGUAUAGAGCUUAGAAAAAUCAAUAUUAUUCUUUACUUAAAAAGAAUGAAUCUUGAAGUGAAUUGAUUACCUUAACAAUCACCUAAGAGUGUGAUUUUAAUUAUUACAUUCAUUAGGAGUUAAUAUUGAAAUAUACUUAAUUCUUAAUUUUGUAAUAAUAUUGAUCUCACUAUCUAUUCUUUCAUUAUUUUGUAAAUUCAUGUGUUUUUUGUGUUUGUCAUCUUGUUGUUCUUCUCACAUUUUGUGGAUUGUUUUGAUAUCUUGAUGGACUGAUUUAUAUCACCUUGGAAGCAAACUCAGGAUUUAAAGUCUCCGAGUGAUUGAAACGAUAAAUUUACUUAACACCUUAAAGACUCCGAAUUCUGAAUUCGGUUCUGGAUCCAAAGGUAUAGUAGCCAUGAUAUUUUUUUCAAAAGAACAGAAGUAAACGGAUCCAACUCCCCAUCAUUUCCUUUCUCUCCCUUUACUGUUUGAAUUAGUGACAUAGGAUCCGAAGUAAACAAGCUACAUCCAACAGUAUUUUCUACAUUACUAAAAAUAAACCUCACAAUACUUGUUAUUAAUUUUUAUUUGCUCUAAUUAGAUUAAACGUGACAACCCUCAAUAAAUCUCUUAUCAAUAUUUAACAAUUUAAAAAUAACACACACAACCUACAUGGAAUAAAUAAAAAAAGAAAAUUGGACAGAAUGCCGAAAGAUUCUUUUCUCAAUUUGGUGAGUUAUACUCACUAAUUUUCUUAUUUGAUUCUCCAUUUUACUUAUUUUUUUAGUAAUUAAGAUAAAACAAAUUUUUUUCAUAUUUUACUUUUGUAGGAUAUUAUUAAUUAUUUUUCUUAAUUAAGAUGAAGAAAAUAUUAGAUUUCUUUUGAGUAAUGUCUGCUCCAAAUUAUCAUUUUUUUUUAUAAGAUUCCUCUCAAAUUAUGUCCGAUCCUAAUUAUCCAGGAAACAAAAGUCAUUUCUGCCUGAAGAGGCAACACACAAACAGAAUACCAGAAGCAUUACACUGCAUUAAACACCAACCAAACAAUAUCAUGCCCAUACAAUUACCCCAAAUUACCUUUUCAUAAUACUUGCAAAAACUUGAAAAACAUAACAAAAAAGCAUAAAGAGCAAGACACGAGUACUUCUAGAUAGAUCCCUACCAUUUUAUUUGUACUAACAUAUAAUUCCACUAACCAUCAAACAUAUCCAGAAAACAGAGCAACAUGUUUAACAUUUCAAGCAACUUUAACCUCAUCCAGAAAACAGAGCAACAUGUUUAACAUUUCAAGCAACUUUAACCUCAUCCAGAAAACAGAGCAACAUGUUUAACAUUUCAAGCAACUUUAACCUCAUCCAGAAAACAGAGCAACAUGUUUAACAUUUCAAGCAACUUUAACCUCAAUUGUUUUGGGCUUCUUUGGUUCAGGAGGCGGCAACUUCUGAACAGUGACGGUUAACACCCCAUCCUGACAAACAGCAGAAAUUGCACCAGUAUUAGCAUUCUCUGGCAGAGUAAACUUCCUCAUGAAUUUCCCAACCCUUCUCUCCAUUCUGAUAUACUUUGCACCUUCUUUCUCUUCUUCCCUCUUCC
rnacentral:lncRNA from 1 species